GUAAUUUUUCUGCUUAUAGCUGAAAUAGGCAUUACAAAUUAGGGCUUUGCCUAACUGCAGAGACCUUGGAACAUAAACCUAUAUAUAAGAAUAAGAAUAAACUGGGGUUAAUUUCUUGAACAUUGACCUACGCUUGCUGAUUAGUCAGCUUACACUCCAGCUGUAGUCAUUUGUUUAUUAUGAGAGCACACCUCCUUUGGUAUUGAUCUAAGGUACCGGUCAGUGUGUAAAUCUUCACAUCCCAUUCUGGGAUACAUACACACACAACUGAAAUUUGUCUCAACACUUACAAAGUAGCCUGAGGCAGUUUGAAAAAUUAAGCAAACUGCCAAAUAGCUGAAGCCACUUUGAAGGAGCAAAGGCUGAAAUUCCUGGAUACAGCAGAUGGGUAAUCACCAUCCUUCAUCAAGGACUUGACCCUGAGGUUACUGGCUGUGAGGAAGAAAAAUGUGUCCGUUUCAUGUCCUGAUCUCAUAUUCACCUCUUCAGGCAAGCUUCUCCCAGGAACCAAACUCUACUUUUGUCUGCAUAUUUACAGCCAGGACAGUGUCUCCAGACACAGCUUUGCAUAAGCAUAGAAAUAUGUCACUUAGAUGAGUCAUUCUUGCUCAUUUAGAAUGACUGAGACGAUGGCCAAUGAGCUAGACACCCAUGGCAGAGAGGGUAUCUUCACAGAUGCUGCCGUGAUCCUGCCCUGAUGGGUUAGUGGUCCAAAUGCCAACUCCUGGUGGGGCAUCCUUGAAGUUGUUUCUAGGGCACAGGUUCCUGGCAGGAAGAGGCUCCGCUCCCAGGGGAGCUCAUCAAACACCCCUUCAUCUCCCCAUCUCCAGCUCCCACAGUGCACUUCACAAUCUCCUUCUGCUGGGGUCCCUCUGCCACCCGAGUGUUCAGGGUAAUGGAAAGAUGGCUCCAGACCAGGCCCCCACUGGGCAAAUGACCCAAACUCAAAAACUCAAAACCUUCUCUGUGCCCAAAGUGGAAGCAGGGCUGCUCUACUCCACCUCCAUGUCUUGCCAAUUACCUUCACUUGUGCAAAGUGUCAGUGAUCAGAACUACACAUGCAUGGAGCUGUCAGGCACAGUGAGCAAGUCCCUCUUGCUUCCAGGUAACAAGUCUUGUAGGCCCUUCUCACCUGCUGUGGGGAGGAAAGAGUAUCUCCUUCCCACAUCUCAUAGGAGGGAGUAGUUUUCCACCAAAAACUCAAUCCUUGCGUCUCCAACAAAUUCACUAAGACUGUUUAGGCUGCAAUAGGGAAGGGAUGAGAAGAUAGUUGAAGCAAAGUUGGUCCUGACCCUCUGAGAUGUGUCUGGCAGCUCCUCAGUGUCUAUGUAUUAUUUACCUCCUACCAUCUGCCAUUCAAAGACAGCAAGAAAAGUCCUGGAUACUAUUCUGCUUAUUGUAAAUGCCCUGGUUUACUCUCUGUAUGGGUCUAGUUCUUUGUUUCCACUUUUAGACUGUUACCUCCUUGAAGACAGGCACUGUGUCUCUCUGUCCAGCAUCUAACAUAUUGAUAAAUAUUUCAGUGAACAGACACCAGUUAAGAUUGGGGUUUCAUUUACUUUGAAACCUUUACUUUCAGCUUUUAUUUUAGCAGAGUUUUGAUGAUGCAUGUUCUGGUUCUACCUACUAAGUCUGUAGGUAUUUCUGAACUUGUCUGGAGACGGAAAUGGCAACUCACUCCAGUAUUCUUGCUUGGAAAAUCCCAUGAAUAGAAGUGUCUGGUGGGCUAGACUCCUUUUGUCAUUUUGAAAGGGGAUCAAUAAAAACCAUAGCGUGAGCAGGGAUGAGUCUAUCUGACUCUGGGGAUCUGGGUGUAUGUGGCCCCAUAGUGACCACAAAUGUCAUCCCCGGGGGUUGGAUUGGCCAGAUGUAGAUCUAGAAAGUACCAAGGAGCUCCGGUCCUUUAGAGACAGGCUCAGAAAAGAUCCAGGCACCAUUUUAAAUCCAUAUGGAAACAUGUGCAAACUGGUACAUGUUUCUAGAGAAGAAUUUGACAACUGGUACACUGAGAACCUGAAAGUGUGCACUUUAGAUCCAGCAAUUUUAAUUCUAGGAAUCAUCCCUAAAAAAAUUAUCAGGAAUAAGACACAGAUGUGUGUAAAAUGAUGCUCAUCAAUGUGUAUUAAUUAAGUUACUAUAUUAAUUAAUACAAUGGGAUAUUAUGCAGUUGUUAGAAGCCACAUUGUACUUAAUAAAGCAUGGGAAUGCUCAUGAUACAUUAAGUGAAAAAAACCCAGCAAGAAAGAGUACUACGGUAUGAUCUAGUUCUAUGGAGGAUGUGCAGAAGAAGAUAGGGAAAAAUAUUAACAGGUUUUAUCUCUCAAGUACAGAGAGAUUUUGGAUGGUUUUACUUUAUUGCCUAUACUUUUCUGUUUGUUUCCCAUAUUUUUUUUCAGUAAGUGUAUACUACUUUUACAAUCAGAAGAAGACAAUAAGUAAUAUUUUAAACAAGAAGAAAUAAAAUACAGAUGAACAAUUAAUUUAUCAUUUAUAGCUGAAGGCAAUAGGAUUGAAGGAGAUUUGGCCCAGAAGAGAUUUGUAGGGAGGAUAGAAAGAUUACCAAAAGGGAUUACUUUGUUUUGAUGAUAAGGACAUUCUUAUCAUCUGGAGUUAGCUCAAGCAACAUUCCAAUUGUGUGUGUGUUCACAGGAGAAUUAUGAAAAGGAAAAAGAAGAUGAGGAGGAGGAAUUUCCUGGGAUUUAGCAUGGCAAUAAUAUUGAUAGGUGAGGCUCCAGGCUAACCUCAUGAUAACCCUGAAUUAUAUUUAACAGUCAAUAUUUAUCCAUGGGUUACAGAGGCUAAGAGCUUGAUCUCUUAAUUGAGUUUGAAUUGCAGUUCUGUUACUAUCUAUCAUGUGAUCUUGAAAAAUUGUUUAAUCUCUCCCAGUCACUACCUCAGCAAAUAACAAAAACAAUAACAUCUACUACAUAUGAUUGUUUUGAAUAUUCAGGGAGUUAAAACAUAUAAAGCAUUGCAAACACAGUCUUGCAUAUAAUACAAGUCUAAUAAAAGUUACCUGUUACAAACAAUUAUUAUUGCAAAUAAGUCCCUGUAACACACUGCAGUGGAAAACAGCAGGCCGAGUGUCAAAAAGUCUGAGCUGGAGGACAGAUCCCACGAUUUCUGAGGAGCGUGACUUGGACCAAGCACUCACAUUUUCAGAACCCCCUUCUCCAAGAUGGCUAUAGCAGUAUCUGUCUUCCCUCUUCCAUAACUCUAGUGAGGAGUCGGAGUGAGGCACAAUUAUUGAAAAUGCCGAUGAAUAGAAGAAGGCUAGGGAGUUCCCACCCAUCUUUUCCCUGGAAUAUAGAUUUUCAGACUUCCCUGGGUAGAGAACUUCAGGCUGGCUUCAUUAGGAUAAAUCGAAGCUCUGGGAUAAUAACCAGGUGUCUGGUUUAAUAGCUUUUAAACUCUAUCCCCUGCACAGUGGAAACAUUGAAUGCAAUGACAAUAACUCAUCUGUAAGAACUGGUUUGGAAGAGG
ensembl:lncRNA